rnacentral:lncRNA from 1 species
CAUCCCUUAGAUUGGGAAAAGAGUUCUUUAUUCAAGUCCAUGUUUCGUGGGCUAACAGAAUGUAAAAGCAUAAAGCACUCAGCAGAUUGAGGUUCUGUAAGUACCAAAAUUCACAAGAAACCAACGUUGACUUUAUGGAAUAAUAGACGUGGAUAUCUGACGUUGGUAUAACUAUUUUAUUGUUAAAAGAAAUUUAGAUCACUCAAACACUAUUCUAUUAAGAUAAUUUAAUCUAUAGAAUCAUGCAAUAACUUGUAUGGCACUGCCCCAUCAGGCUAAAAUCAAUGACAUUUGCAACCCCUCAUUGAAACAUAAGUUUCUAAAUGCUCUUCCCAAAUGGGCUUGAAGCUCUCCAGAAAGCAAACACUAGCUCACCAGCAAUGCACACAGCUGAUUGCCCAGCGCACACAACACCUGACAGAGCCUCUUCAGAAAGACGUAGUGUUUUUCUACCAAACCUCCUCCAUCAGCAGUCCUGUAAGAUGAGAAUUCCUUAUAUCACCAACAAAAUUAAAAAGGCUGUAAUAAAAACAUCACUUUGUGUCUCA